rnacentral:rRNA from 1 species
GUGGGGAAUAUUGGGCAAUGGGCGCAAGCCUGACCCAGCAACGCCGCGUGAAGGAAGAAGGCUUUCGGGUUGUAAACUUCUUUUACCAGGGACGAAACAAAUGACGGUACCUGGUGAAUAAGCCACGGCUAACUACGUGCCAGCAGCCGCGGUAAUACGUAGGUGGCGAGCGUUAUCCGGAUUUAUUGGGUGUAAAGGGCGUGUAGGCGGGACAGCAAGUCAGAUGUGAAAACCAGAGGCUCAACCUCUGGCCUGCAUUUGAAACUGUUGUUCUGGAGUGUCGGAGAGGUAAUCGGAAUUCCGUGUGUAGCGGUGAAAUGCGUAGAUAUACGGAGGAACACCAGUGGCGAAGGCGGAUUACUGGACGAUAACUGACGCUGAGGCGCGAAAGCGUGGGGAGCAAACAGGAUUAGAAACCCCUGUAGUCC